rnacentral:lncRNA from 1 species
CUUGACCUAUAAUGGUUUACUUAUAUAAAUAGUUACAUGGAUGGGGAGUUGUCUUAUUGGCACUCAUACCACAUCUUCCUAUAUUUAUUGGCAAAAAUAAAGGUGUUUUAUAAGAAAUCUACAUUUGUACUUUUCAUGACAUAGAUGUAGGUAAUUGCCCUGAAGUACUCUGGAGAAGAUACAGAUGGUGCAACUAAGAACCAAAAAACAAUGACAGCAUGAUGACCAAAAGUAAUCUGAAAUUAGGAAAAGUGGACAGGAUAUAUAUAUAGCUGCUAUGACAAUUGAAAAUAUCCAUGAUCUAAAUGUACACACUGAAAUAAAAAAAAAAAAAAAAAUGGAGAGCAAACUCUCACAAUUGAGUUUUAAAUUAAAGUAUCACUUUCUGAAAACUAAUAAAAUUUAGGUAUCAAAUUGUUUUGAUUCAGAAAAUUUAUGUUGAAGGGG